rnacentral:rRNA from 1 species
UACGUAGGGUGCGAGCGUUUGUCCGGAAUUACUGGGCGUAAAGAGCUCGUAGGUGGUUUGUCGCGUUGUUCGUGAAAACUCACAGCUCAACUGUGGGCGUGCGGGCGAUACGGGCAGACUGGAGUACUGCAGGGGAGACUGGAAUUCCUGGUGUAGCGGUGGAAUGCGCAGAUAUCAGGAGGAACACCGGUGGCGAAGGCGGGUCUCUGGGGCAGUAACUGACGCUGAGGAGCGAAAGCGUGGGGAGCGAACAGG